rnacentral:tRNA from 1 species
GUAAGAAGUAGCUCAGCGGUAGAGCAUACCGCUCCAAAUUCAUGGGUUCGACUCCCAUACUCUUCCG